rnacentral:rRNA from 1 species
UCCUAGGACCAUGCAACCCUAAACAAGCCCCAUCCCAUCUGAUCUCAAAAGCUAAGCAGGGUUGGGCCUCGUUAGUACUUGGAUGGGAGACCAUCUAUGAAGACCAGGUCUUGUAGAAG